rnacentral:sRNA from 1 species
GCGAUGAACGUUCCUGCUCGCGGAGUUGC